GCCGGCUUAACUCAGUGGUAGAGUGCGUCACUCGUAUUCCAACCAUCCAUCUGAUUCACAGAUGAUGUUUGAGACUCAAAAUGACGAAGUCGCUUGUUCGAUCCAGGCAGUCGGCA